UCGGGUUCUGCUGCAUUGAGUUGCUUACUGCUGACGUUUCAGCAAUCAGCGUGACAGAACUUGGGC
rnacentral:precursor_RNA from 1 species